CAACAACAAAUAUGGCGGAAUCUGUAUUGUCAAACACGGAAGAAGAAGGAUACAACCAUAAUUAAACCAAGACGUUUAUGAAGAAGGGAUCACUGGAUUUUGUCACUUUGGUACAAGAAACAGAAAAGGAUAUCAUAGACCACCUUACUUAUACGGAAGCAUAGGAGCUGUUGAAGGAAAUUGCUGCCAGACAGUCAGCAGUUAUCACUGACAGCCUGUCCUGGCCCAGCUUGGACCAUCCUCAAGCUAACCAUGAUGGUGUGUUUGCAAGAAUUGUCCAUUUGGUAGACCAUGAUGAAGACCAGCUUUGUUGUGGCAUGGCCUGACAAUACUGUACAAGCCAGAGACCAAAAAAGGGUUAAGUGGUGACUGAUCCUCUCACCCUCCUUAUCCAGGAAAUAUUUCGGAACAACGUGUUGGCACUGAAGAUGUGGAGGACACAGAUUGAUCACAGUACAUCCUUUGGAUACAUGGACACCUUCAACGUGACGACAACAAAAUUGUACCUGCCUUUUUUUUUGAAAGGAAGUAGUUAAUAAAAUUAUUGUUAACAGCUUUUUUAGUCUUGUUGUUUAAGAAUGCUUGCAACAUUUAAGUGGAUAAACGGUUGUUUUAAAUUUGAAUCUUCAGUAAUGCAUUCUUUAUUAAAUGAUGUAAUCUUAUUUCUUUCAAUAUAGUGUAAAUAAUAAGAACAUAAUUAUCCUUUGUAUACAAAAUGAAAACCAAGUUUACUGUUCUAUUAAUCAUUAUUUAUUUAUCUUGUUCUUUUGUCAGAAAUAUUUCAGGGGCAUACAUACAGUAUUCCUUAAAUAAA